ACCCUAGAAACGCGAUGGAGAAAACGAUUUCUUCUCCUCCGCCGAUCUCCUGCCUCCGCUCCCUCCGAUUCUUCUCCGGUUUCAUCUCCGGUUUCAUCUCUUCGAUUCUAUUUCACCUCUCCGUUUCUUCUCCGGCUUCAUCUCCUCGAUUCUAUUUCACAUUUCCUCGGGCGAUUUUCGAUUUCUCCUCACCUCCGCCGAUCCUAACGAGCUUUGAUUUGUGCUUCUCUCCUCUCCUCCGCUCCUUCUGCUGUUAAGGCCAGUAAUAAGCCUUUGAAAGGUAAGAGGGAGCCUUAAGAUGAUGUUGAUACUAAAGUGAGUCUUAAGAAGCAGAAGGAAGACGUGAUUGCUGCUGUACAAAAGUAAAAAGCUGUGAAGAAGGUGACUAAGAAGGUUGAGAGCUCUGAUUCAUCAGAUUCUGAAUCUGAGGAAGAUGAGAAGGCUAAGAAAGUUCCAGCCAAGAAGGCUGCAACCAAGAAGCAUGCUGCGGCUGCUGCUAAAAAGGCCAAGGUCUGAGAGUUCGUCUGAAGAUGAUUCAUCCUCUGAUGAGGACUCAGAUGAUGAUUCUGAGGAUGAGGUGAUAAAUUUUUCUGUUUGUUG